GCGAACGGGUUAGUAACGCGUGGGAACAUACACAGCACAGGGGGAUAACCAUUGGAAACGAUGGCUAAUACCGCAUACGCCCUAUUGGGGAAAGAUUUAUCGGUGUUGGAUUGGCCCGCGUUAGAUUAGCUAGUUGGUGGGGUAAUGGCUCACCAAGGCGACGAUUUAUAGCUGGUUUGAGAGGAUGAUCAGCAACACUGGAACUGAGACACGGUCCAGACUCCUACGGGAGGCAGCAGUCGGGAAUAUUGUGCAAUGGGGGCAACCCUGACACAGCCAUGCCGCGUGAGUGAAGAAGGCCUUAGGGUUGUAAAGCUCUUUCAGAUGUGAGGAUGAUGACGAUAGCAUCAGAAGAAGCUCCGGCUAACUUCGUGCCAGCAGCCGCGGUAAUACGAAGGGAGCUAGCGUUGUUCGGAAUUACUGGGCGUAAAGGGCGUGUAGGCGGAUUAUCAAGUUAGGGGUGAAAUCCCGGGGCUCAACCUCGGCACUGCCUUUAAGACUGAUAAUCUAGAGUAUGUGAGGGGAUAAUGG
rnacentral:rRNA from 1 species